rnacentral:rRNA from 1 species
CUUGUUUUACAAAACAUGUCUUAAUGUAAAUUUUUAUUAAGUCUGACCUGCUCAAUGACUUCUUUGAUGGGUUAAAUAGCCGCAGUAUUUUGACUGUGCGAAGGUAGCAUAAUCAUUUGUCUUUUAAUUAAAGGCUUGUAUGAAUGGUUGGAUGAGGGAAUUACUUUCUUUAUAUUAUGUGUUGAAUUUAAUUUUUUAGUUAAAAGGCUAAAAUUUUUAAGUGGGACGAGAAGACCCUAUAGAAUUUAACUAUUGGUUAUUAAUUUAUAUGUUUUGUUUAUUAAUUAUAAUUAAUAAUAAAAUAGUUUUGUUGGGGUGACAAUGGGAUUAAUUUAACUCCUAUAUUCAGAUAUUUAUUUAUUUGUAUACUUUUGAUCCUAUUAUAAGGAUAAUUAGAUUAAAUUACCUUAGGGAUAACAGCGUAAUUUUUCUGGAGAGUUCUUAUCAAUAGAAAAGUUUGCGACCUCGAUGUUGGAUUAAAAUUAGAUUUAUAGCGCAGAAGCUUAAUUUCUAGGUCUGUUCGACCUUUAAACUUUUACAUGAUCUGUUUUCAACCCGG